GGAGGUCCUUUCUAUUUGCUAGACAGAGUGCUGCCUAACUCAUGAACUGUUGAAUGAAGCCAAUAAGACCCAGCCACUUCCUCUGAGGACAACCGAAGCUGAAUGAGAAAUGAGUUCCUGAGAUGUUGCAAUACCCGGGACCAUGAGGACAAGUAACCCGGAACACGGGCUCGAUCCCUGGUCCAGAAGAUUCCACAUGCUGUGGACCAGCUAAGCCCGUGUGCCCUAACCACUGAGUCUUCAUGCUGCAGCUACUGAAGCCUGCGCUCCACAAAAAGAGAAGCCAGUGCAAUGAGAAGCCCAUGCACUUCAACUAGAGAGGAGCCCUCCGCUGGCACAGCUAGAGAAAGCCUGUGUGCAGCAGCGAAGACCCAGUGCAACCAAAAACAAAUUUGUAAAAACCCUGAAAGAAAACCAACAAGACAGGAGCAAGGAUCUAGGCCUUCCUCUUCUGAGACCCAGAAUCACAAACUCUUGCUCUGAAUGUUUUUAAGCGCCAUUGGCUCCAAUCAGUUUAUGCCUCAAUAGCCCUGCCCAGCUGAAACCAGCCCCAUGUGGCCCCCAAGGGUGCUCAGGGCUCACAGCAGGUGACUAGCAAGGCUGGGAUUCCACAGUGAUCUUCACCCAGUGAGAAGUCACAGCUGGGGACGAGGUUGGAGGCAGCUAAGAGCCAGUGCAAGGUAGGGACAUCACAGCCCUCAGCAGAAAGAGCAUGGCCACCUCCCCUGGAGAGGGGCCACAAACUUCCUGGGCACCCUUCUCUUGCUGAGCAGCCCUAGAGGCAGUGGCCCGUCAAGGGAGUGAGGAAAGCAGGGGAGGCAGAGAGGCAGCUCCUGUCCAUC
ensembl:lncRNA